AAGAGGAAGAAGAGAAAACGGCCGGGCGGCGGUGGCUGUAGGUUGUGCGGCUGCAGCGGCUCUUCCCUGGGCGGACGAUGGACAGCCAGGGCAGGAAGGUGGUGGUGUGCGACAACGGCACCGGGUUUGUGAAGUGUGGAUAUGCAGGCUCUAACUUUCCAGAACACAUCUUCCCAGCUUUGGUUGGAAGACCUAUUAUCAGAUCAACCACCAAAGUGGGAAACAUUGAAAUCAAGGCCUUAUUUUUUGAACAAUUGAGCAAAAGAAACAGAUGAAACCUCAUACAAAACCCUCCAAAAUAUGAAAAUGUGGGGUUUAUUUGUGCUAAUGCUCUUCUUUUGGAAACAUUUGUGUUAAAGGAUCUUAUGGUUGGUGAUGAGGCAAGUGAAUUACGAUCAAUGUUAGAAGUUAACUACCCUAUGGAAAAUGGCAUAGUACGAAAUUGGGAUGACAUGAAACACCUGUGGGACUACACAUUUGGACCAGAGAAACUUAAUAUAGAUACCAGAAAUUGUAAAAUCUUACUCACAGAACCUCCUAUGAACCCAACCAAA
rnacentral:lncRNA from 1 species